UACAGAGGGUGCGAGCGUUAAUCGGAAUUAUUGGGCGUAAAGAGCUCGUAGGUGGCCUGUCGCGUCGGCUGUGAAAACUCGGGGCUCAACUCCGAGCUUGCAGUCGAUACGGGCAGGCUAGAGUUCGGCAGGGGAGACUGGAAUUCCUGGUGUAGCGGUGAAAUGCGCAGAUAUCAGGAGGAACACCGGUGGCGAAGGCGGGUCUCUGGGCCGAUACUGACACUGAGGAGCGAAAGCGUGGGGAGCGAACAGG
rnacentral:rRNA from 1 species